rnacentral:lncRNA from 1 species
GGCUUCACUACCGCUUGAGCCACAUCCCCAGCCCCAAAAGGACCUAGUUCUAUAGAAGACAUUAAAGCAAAAAUGCAAGCAAGUAUAGAAAAAGCACAUUGAACAGCCCUGGGCACUACUGGUAAAUUAAGACCAAAGAUGAGGAGAAAGGAAAAGGAGAGACAAAUAUAGUCCAUACUGAGUAUCAUCAACAAUUCAGGCUGAAGUCUUCUAUUUUAAUCUCAAUCCCCUUUCCUGAUUUGCCACCCACACCCACAUGCAGGCUGGAAGCAAUCUCUCUC